CUUUCCUAGGGGGGCCGCUUGCAUUGUCUAUAUCCUUGGUGGGCAGACGCAACUGUGGAUUUUAUGAUUAGUGGGGGUUAUAAUGUUAGUACACAGAUACAACAGGUAAAGCAGAAGACACUUAUCAUAUCGGGUGAGGAUGACCAGAUCAUUAGUAACAAGCUUGCAGUGAGACUGCGCUGUGAACUGCCAAAUGCAACUAUACGUCAAAUACCAGAUUGUGGUCAUCUUCCUCGUGUCGAAAGGCCCAACUAGGUUGCCAAAUUGACUGUGGAUUUUGUUCAAGAAGAUUGCUAUAAAGAGAUUGAAUGUGUUUCCCAAUACUGAAGUCCACU